rnacentral:rRNA from 1 species
UACGGAGGGUGCGAGCGUUACCCGGAUUUACUGGGUGGAAAGGGCGUGUAGGCGGUCUUUCAAGUCCGAUGCUAAAGACCGGGGCUCAACCCCGGGGGUGCGUUGGAUACUGUGAGGCUAGACGGUCGGAGGGGGUAGCGGAAUUUCCGGAGUAGCGGUGAAAUGCGCAGAUACCGGAAGGAACGCCGAUAGCGAAGGCAGCUACCUGGACGAUUGGUGACGCUGAGGCGCGAAAGCGUGGGGAGCAAACCGG